rnacentral:rRNA from 1 species
AAAAACAUGUCCUUUUGUUGUUGAUAUAAGGUCUGGCCUGCCCAAUGAUGUUUUGAAUGGCCGCGGUAUCUUAACCGUGCUAAGGUAGCAUAAUCAUUUGUCUUUUAAUUAAAGGCUGGUAUGAAUGGUUGGACAAAGUAUUAACUUUCUUUAACUUAUCUAAUUAAUUUAACUUUUAAGUUAAAAGGCUUAAAUUUGUUUAGGGGACGAGAAGACCCUAUAGAUCUUUACACUUAAAUCAUGGGGUCCGGUUUGGAGAAUUUUAAACUCUAUAGAUUUAUUUGUUUGGUUGGGGCGACUGUGGAAUUUUAAUAACUUCCAUUAUUUAAUUUCAUUAAUUGGUGUGUUUUUGAUCCAUUAUUAGUGAUUAUAAGAUUAAGUUACCUUAGGGAUAACAGCGUAAUUCUUCCGGAUAGUUCUUAUUGAUGGAGGAGUUUGCGACCUCGAUGUUGGAUUAAAAUUAGUAACGGGUGUAGUAGUUCGUUAACUG